UGGGGAAUUUUGGACAAUGGGCGCAAGCCUGAUUCAGCAAUGCCGCGUGCAGGAUGAAGGCCUUCGGGUUGUAAACUGCUUUUGUACGGAGCGAAAAGGUCUGCUCUAAUACGGUUGGCUCUUGACGGUACCGUAAGAAUAAGCACCGGCUAACUUCGUGCCAGCAGCCGCGGUAAUACGUAGGGUGCCAGCGUUAAUCGGAAUUACUGUGUGUAAAGCGUGCGCAGGCGGUUAUGCAAGACAGAUGUAAAAUCCCCGGGCUAAACCUGGGACCUGAAUUUGUGACUGUAUAGCUAGAGUACGGUAGAGGGGGAUGGAGUUCCGCGUGUAGCAGUGAAAGGCGUAGAUAUACGGAGGACAACCGAUGGCAAAGACGAUACCCUGGACCUAUACUAACGCUAAUGCACGAAAGCGUGGGGGGCAAACA
rnacentral:rRNA from 1 species